rnacentral:rRNA from 1 species
AGCCUUAAGAUUUUAUUUAAGGUAAAACCUGCCCAGUGAUUUAUUUAACGGCCGCAGUACUUUGACUGUGCUAAGGUAGCAUAAUAAAUUGACUUUUAAUUGAAGUCUAGAAUGAACGGGAAUUUGGGGAGACACUGUCUUAAAAAAAUUAAAUAUAACUUCCUAAAUAGGUGAAAAUUCCUAUAGAUAUAUAAAUUAGACGAGAAGACCCUAAGAAUUACUGUUAAAAAUUCCUUUAGAGUUUAAACUUUUGUUGGGGCAACAUUGUUGAAAUUAAACCAACAAUUAUUAGAAGAUAAUAUAUUUACUAAUUGUAAGAGAAUAGUAAAUUACCUUAGGGAUAACAGCAUAAUUAAAUUAUUUAGAUUGUGACCUCGAUGUUGGAUUAAGGGCUUUAACUGUUAGCCACAAUUAAAGAUAGUUCUGUUCGAACAUAAUACCUU